UACGUAGGUGGCAAGCGUUGUCCGGAAUUACUGGGUGUAAAGGGCGUGUAGGCGGGGAUGCAAGUCAGAUGUGAAACCCCAUGGCUCAACUGUGGGCUUGCAUCUGAAACUGUGUUUCUUGAGUGUUGGAGAGGGAAGUGGAAUUCCUAGUGUAGCGGUGAAAUGCGUAGAGAUUAGGAGGAACACCAGUGGCGAAGGCGACUUCCUGGCCAACAACUGACGCUGAGGCGCGAAAGCGUGGGGAGCAAACAGGAUUAGAUACCCUGGUAGUCCACGCCGUAAACGAUGGAUACUAGGUGUAGGUGGUAUAAGCCAUCUGUGCCGCAGUAAACACAUUAAGUAUCCCACCUGGGGAGUACGACCGCAAGGUUGAAACUCAAAGGAAUUGACGGGGGCCCGCACAAGCAGUGGAGUAUGUGGUUUAAUUCGAAGCAACGCGAAGAACCUUACCAGGGCUUGACAUCCCUCGAAUUACGUAGAAAUACGUAAGUCCUACGGGACGAGGAGACAGGUAGUGCAUGGUU
rnacentral:rRNA from 1 species